ensembl:rRNA 5S_rRNA 5S ribosomal RNA
GUCUACGUCCAUACCACCCUGAACGUGCCCGAUCUUGUUCUGAUCUUGAAGCUAAGCAGGGUCGGGCCUGGUUAGUACUUGGAUGAGAGGAAGUUUAAAAAAUAACCUGAGUUUAACUGCGAAGUUUAUU